AAGAAACCAAUAUUAUGUAACCUUCACAUCCAACUAACUACACACUCACCAACUAUGAAAAUACAACCUGCAGUGGGCUUUGUAGUCUCACUAUAGCCUCGAUAAUCUGCAUCCAUAAAACCAAUAACUUUAAGUGGCAAACUUGUUUAAACUUAAAAUUUCAGUAGCGAAAACACACUCUCGAUAUGAUUUCCGGUGUAAGCUCCAUUAAUCGGAGGUAGAUUAUUGGCAUUCUAUCCAAUUAUGGAUACACAGAAAAUCGAACAAAAAUAGCCUCUCUUUUGUGGAGCACCGGCUACACUGGCUAAUAUUUGCCUCAAAACCAGAUAAAGAAAAUACUAAGGAAAACAAGGGAUGUUUUGGAAAUGAAUUUGGAAAUAGCUAGCAUAAACUAUGAGUAAAUUUGUGCUACUUAGAGUUUGGGUUGAGGGAUCAAAAUGUUGGUUGAGCUAACUGUAGUUGCAGAGGGACUCAGGAAAAUAAGGCUAGGGUUUGAUUGAAUUAGGGUGUGAGGGAGGCUCGGGUGAGCCAGAGUUUUGGCACAGGUGAAAUCGGGGUCGGGCCCAAAACAAGUCCAAAAAGGAGCAAGUUAUAAGAAAAAGAUGGGCGCCACCAAUCCUCCACAUCCCAAUCGACCGUUGGGAGCCCUUUUAGGGAAAAACGAGUUGGGAUAUUUAGGAGGCUUAACGCCCCCCUUUAAAAUAUUUUGAUUUUGAUUUUGAUUUUGAUUUUGAUGUUUAUAAUUUGUGGUUUAGACUAAGGUUUGAUUAAUUUAGGUUAGUCAAGGUUGAUUGAGUGGGCUAAUCUAGGUUAGGAGUUUUCAAUCCAUGGUCUUACGCGGGAAUAGAAGGUGUCAUGUCUGGCUCUAGCCUGGGUAGGCUAGUUCUAACCUAACCAAGCAGGUUUAAGGGAGGGAUCAAGCCUAUUUAGGAAGGUUUCAAGUGUUACUAACUUAGCUCAGGCUUUAACUAAAUGGCUUCAAGUGCAAUUACUUAUGGUGUAUUAGAGGUGGAGGGGGUGCAGGGGUUAUGGUGUAUGGGUGUACAAGUGUAAUAUGGUACCUAGUGUGGUUUAAGCUAGGAAAUUGGGCGAAAAGUUUAGAAAAGCUUUAGCCAGGUUCUUAUGGUUUCCAUGGUUUUUUUUAUUUCUUGGAAUUUCCUCAAUUAAAAAAAAUUGGUUGUCUACACAACUUCUAAAUUAGAGACAUACACUCGAUGUGCUCUUCAAAUACAGAAGAAUCGACUUCUUUGUUUGCCAAUGCUCCAUCCUAGGCCAUACAUAACAUGAAACAACUCCGACUACAUGGGCAAUAUUUGGCUUACUAUAAGCCAUUGCAUACAUUAACCUACCCAUGGAGAAAGACUAAAAAACAUUUUUCAUUUUGCUUUUUUUGCCUUAUUCAUUAGAGAGUCAUUUUUCGACAAUUCAAACUCUACAUCGAAUAGUAUGGUAAUAGUUUCACAAUCGAUUAUAUUAAAAUAUUCAAGAACAUUAGAAAUGUAUUCAUAUUGACUUAACCUAUGCUCACCUUGCUCUCUGUGAAUGUGCAUGCCAAUAUUUUCCUAUUCAUCCAAGGAUCUUUGGUGGUAAAAUGUUUAGACAUAUCAAGCAUUUGACGUUUGAUUUUUUUUGGAUCAUUGUCGGCUACCAACAUAUCAUUAACAUAAAACAAUAAAGCAGUAAAAAAAACUGCAUUUUGAUCCCUUAAAAUAGGCACAAUAAUCAAAUCCGCACAUAGAAUACUAUUCUUAUUGCAUAAAACUUUCACUUUUCUUUUAUUAUUGCAUGGAUGCUUGUUUCAAGCCAUUCAAAUCUUUUUUCAACUUACAAACUAAGUUAGGAUUAGUUUUGUUCUCAAAACCCUACGCUUGGCACAUUUAGAUCUCUUCUUUCAAAUCACCAUGUAAAAAGGCAAUUUCAAUGUCAAUCUCUUCUAGCCCAAAAUUCAAAUAUGCAAAAAAAAAAAAGAAAAAAUCUAAUAGAGCGACUUUUUAUAACAAGAGAAAAAAAUUCAUGAAAAUCAACAUUACCUUUUACCACAAGAUUGCCUUUACAUCACAAGAAGCCAUCAACGUCCCACCUAACUACAUACAUCCAUCUAUUUUUUAAUGCUUUCUUCUUAUGUGGAUCUCAUACCAAUUCCAAUGUACUAUUUAAUGCAAGGUAUCAAUCUCAUCUUCCAUUGUCUUUUAUCAUUUAUCAACAUUAGGACAAUUUUGAGUCUAUUGAAAAGACUCAAGUUCACCACCAUCAGUGAGUUCAACUUCAACUUAACAUAAAGAAAGAGAAUACCCUUGUGUGGGGUUGUAGGGCCUUGUCAUGCUGAGUCGCUCAACACAAUGGAAAAAUUCACGCUCAUAACAAGCACGCCAUGUACAAUCGGACGCCUCUUCUUUACAAGUUCUCGCUCUCUCUCUCUCUGCAACAACUCACAAUAUACUUCUCUCUACGGGGCCCUCUCCAAAGACUCCCGAUAACCUUUAUAACCUCACCUUUAAUGCCCACUGUAAGGCCUAAUUGACCACCCUCAAUUGCCCUUCCCAUAUGCAAUGCUUCAAGAUAAACUCCUACCCCUAUCUAAACCUUAUAAAAAAAAUAGCAGAUUCGUAUUUUAUUGCCCAUAUAAAUAUUUGAUUGGUCUGGGAAAUGAGGCAACAAAUAUUCCAACCUUAUCUUGCUAAAAAUUAACUCAAAUCAAAACAUUCUCCUACCAAAUUAAAGCUAGAACAAGAUUCUAACAACCUUAUUAUUUCUAUGUUGGUCCAGGGGACCAAAAUUGUCUAGUCCUUCUAUACGGCUUUCGCCACUCGCGCCGGCACGGCCCCGCCGGUGUGUGCGAGAGUCGUUGAUGACUCUCAACGUGUUGACCUUCUCAAUUGUUGUUCAAGUGUAACUGAUUACCUUUUUAAUUUUCCAUGGAACUAUCAUUAUGAAUCCUCAUUAAUCGUAUAUCAUCUCUAUUACUAAUAUCACACCCAUCAACAUUAUCUUAAAUAUGAAACUCUUACACUUGCCAAGGUAAGAUAUUAGAAUUUUGGACUUAUAUAUCCACAAUAAGUCAUUCUUGCUUUUUAUCUACUUGUUUCUUUUCAAGAGACAUCACAUCCUCAUUAAAGAGAACAUACUAGCUCAAAUGAUUACAAGCAAACAACACAUCCUCAUUAAGGUUCUCUUUGAUGCAGAUUGACUUGAAUAAUUGGAUUCUAAUUUUAAGAAUCACCUUAAAGUCAUGGGAUGAAUAAUUUCCAACAAAGAAACAUAAUUUUUGAGUUCAUAAACCUUCAUCCGACUCUUUGGGGACUGAUUCUUUUAGGCACCUUUUCGAGUGUCUUCAAAACUGUGGUUUCACGUUGGUAACUAGGAUAAGUGGACUACAUCCCAACAAAUAGAAAUCCAAGGAGUCCGAAAUAUUUUAAGUAAACAUACAUUUUCCUCUCACUCGAGCAUAUAAUCUUUUUGAAACUUGAAGUUAUACUAAGUUGUUUACUUCUCUUUCCUUGUGUUAUUUUUUCGCAUCUGACGAUUAACAAUAUCUAAGUUAUUUGCUCGAUGUCAAUUAGAAAUACCACUCAUCUUUCUAUACAUUGUUUCAUUUUUUGGAGUGGUUUUCAGACCAUCAUAAAUAUUUCUAAUGAUGAAACAAUAUAUUUCGUUACUAUUUGAAGGUGACCUUACUUUGAUUGUUUAGAGCCGCAGCCUUAUACAAACCACACAAAUUUUAUUCAACAUAUCUUGAAAAAAACAUUCCUAAGAUUGAUCAGAAACCACCCAAAUUUUGGAUGGCCGUUUCCAAGUGUUUUAAAAACUCAAAAUCCACUCUUUGGAAAUAGACAUUUAGUUAGUUUUAGUUCGAUCCUAAAAUUAUAGAUCAAUUAAACCCUCUUAAGUAGCUCUUUUGCCCAAGGGAGAAAAUAUGCUUAAAAUAGAGAGGAGUACAUUUAAAAAAGAGAAAACACUGACAAUAAAGAAAGAAAGUUUCGCGAGUUAAAGAGGAUAAAGGAAUUUAGUUAGUAAAAGAGAAUGAAUUACUGAUAAUAGAGAGGAGUACAUAGAGUUGAAGAGGAAUAGGGAUAAUAUGAAGGGAGGGUCGAGGGUUUAUAUAGAGGAGUUCAAGAGUUGCAUAAGCCUAAACGACUUCAUAGUUUGAGUUAAGACCACGCUAUAUUUAGCCUAUUUCGUUUCAUAAUUGGUAAUAAAUCGCUUUAGAGAUUCUCAGGCUCCUAGGACUCCAUAUUUCUAUGUCUCAUAAAUCUAGUGAUGGCAAUGGACCAGGACCUGGGACCCGACAGGUAGGGUCAAAUUGGACUCAGAGGAUCGGGUCCAGGCUCAAAUCUUGGACCCAAACAUUAUUUUCAGGUUCGGGUGUCACAUUUUCCAAUUUACAAAAAUAUAUUAAAAUACAAUUAAAUACAUAGAUAUUUUAUUUUUUGGGUCAGAUCCAGUUAGAUUCAGUCAGGUCCGGGUCUGGAUCCGGCCCAUAUUAUAUUUUCAGGUCCGGUCCCAUAGUAGUUUUUCAGGUCCGGGUUCGGCCAGCCACCCCUACAUAAAUCUAGCCCCUGAUAUUUCUCUCUUAUACUUUAAAGCCUUGAAAUCUGUGCUUACCUAGAAAAUAUUCUCAUAAAUCCAGGCUUAAUGUGAUUUUCCUCUGAAGUCUAUGAAUUGGGUACUUACCUAAAUAAUCCUCUCUUUUUGCCUUUCAAAGAAUUUACCGAAAGUUAUAAAAAUAAAUUAAAAUAGCAAACCUUUUUUAUUGCUAGUUUUUUUAAUAUGAAAACUAAUGAAAAUAUUGGAAUGUUAUGUUAGAUUUUUCUUUGGUAUUUCUAAAAACAGUAGUGUUCAUGAUCCUGAGGACACCAAACAAGCCCAUGUUUGACAUGGCAGCCGCCACUUGACAUUCCAGCCUCUGUAAAAAUACCCAUCACUCCAUUCGUUCAUUGUCAAAUUCAAAGCACCCUUAUGCACACAAAAAAAAAAAAUAACUGUAAAAAGAAUAAAAAAUGAAAAAGUUAAGGAUUAUACCACUGUGAAGCACAGAUGUACCUACAAGAUCCAAGCUCCUUUCAGUAAAUUUAAAGUUUUUCUCAAAAAUAUAAAAAAUGCAAGCUUUUUUCUCAAAAAAUCAUGCAUGUAGAUUUUUACACCCAAAAAUCAAAAGAAAAAUACAUACCUCAUUUAUCAGAUUUAGGAAUUGAAACAUUAUGUAGGAUUUGGGGUUCAACAAGCUGUGCCCUGCGCAAUAGCAAAGGUACAGGAAGAUCCGUUUUCCAACACAAAUGAGCACAGGAAUAAGCCAAUUGAUCACAGACGCCCAAGCUCUUGAAGGAAUGAUUUGAAGGUAUGAUCUCUCUUCCGCAUGAAGGGGGAAGAGAAGAAAGGAGCCUAAUUUUAGAUGUGAGAGAGAGAGGGUUGAAGGUAU
rnacentral:lncRNA from 1 species